UCUAUUAUCUCUGUUGUGAUUUUUGUAUGUAAUUUGAUGUAUUGCGCAAAAUUUUUAAUUUGGUUUGUUAGGUUUGCAAUUUUAGUGAUGAUUGUAUUUAAAAUUUUGAAACAGAAAGUUAAAUGCGUAAGAUAGGGUUGUCUCUGAGUAGUCAAAAAAUUUGAGGACAUCACCAAUAACAUGGGUAACUGUUUGAAUUCUUCUUCCGCUAAAGUGGACGCCACACUCAGCUCCAGAACAUCCGGGAUGUCGAAAAUUGGUAGCAAAAUCAGUUCGUUGUCUGGCCCAUCCAGCACGACGAUUUCAACGUACAGUGGUGGAAGCAGCAGUAUAGAUAGUGUUAGUACACCACGAUCCGAAGGAGAGGUAUUAUCAUCUUCAAACUUGAAGCCCUUCUCCUUCAUGGAGUUAAAGAACGCCACGCGAAACUUUAGACCCGACAGUCUGUUAGGUGAAGGAGGGUUCGGGUAUGUUUUCAAAUGGUGGAUUGAUGAACUCACUCAUUUGGCUACGAAGCCAGGGUCUGGAAUGGCGAUUGCUGUCAAAAAGCUUAAACCGGAAGGUUUUCAAGGCCAUCACCAAUAGAGGUAAGUUAUUUGAGGACAUCACAAAUAUCAUUUACACAUUGUAUCAUUUGUUGGCUUUGGUGGUUCUCAGUCGGUUGUCUCUGAGUAGUCAAAAAAUUUGAGGACAUCACCAAUAGAGGUAAGUUAUUCUCAUGUUUGUCUCUAUUGUACAUGAAGUAUUUUUGGUUUUAGUCUUCUUAAAUUGUUUUGUAUCAAUUAUAAGUGAUGAGAAUCCAUCUAUGAUACAUUACUUUGAAGCCUCUGUAUGAACUAAAUGAUAUUUAUCAUGGUUCAGUCUAGUGUUUCUUAUUCCUUCUAUUAUAAUCGCCAUCGAUUCUUAAGAAAUUGUAUCAUAAAGAUCUUAGUUAGAGAUGAUGUAUAAAAGAAGUAAUGUACUUUUCUUCACAAUUUAUCACAGGUUGUUGGCAUGAAGAGGAUGUAGCCCUUUUUGUUGGAAAGCGGAUCGAUUCUAAGUAUUUAGCUGCAAAUUUUUUCUUGCAUAUGUGUCUCAAAAUCUCAAGUUUGGCUCGUGUUAGGUAUAUGCAUUGGUUUUAAAAAAAUGGAGGUAUGAAAUUAAUAUUUUAAGUGUUUCUUAUCUAUGGUUUCAAACAACAUAUUUUUUGUUUUUUUUUCUCUUUAUGGGGUAAAUAAAAUAAACCAGUUACUUAAUAACACCCGAUUCCUUUAAAUAAAAUAGGAGAACAUAUGCAACUUUUUUUUACUUAUAUAAGGAUGUAUCAAAAAUCAACCUAAAAAUCAUUGAUGCCGAAAUCAGUCACUGACUCGAAAACAAAGUUGCAGGGCUGGAUACAACCUUUUUAGUGAAAAUACGUAGGCUUUUAUCACAUAUAAACCUUUGUUUUUUAGACUAACAAAAUUUAUGUGUGCAGAAUGGGCCCAAGUACUUUGACAAGGUGAACGUGUCUUGAACAAAGGAUGGGGCUUUGAUUGCUGUUGCAACCAGUGCUAUAGUGGGUAAAGAUUGGAAAAUUGGGGUUUUGAAACACUAGAUAGUUGCAACUCAGGGUAUUUGGAUAGAAGACGGUCGUCAACGGGUUCCUUUGCAUGAAUUUUGUCUGUUGGAGUUUCGGUUACAGAAUGAAGGGAAUACUCCUUGAAACAUACUAAAGGAGAUUGUAUGGAACAAAGAUACAGAGGUUACACAGGUAUGUGGUGUUGUUUAUACGAAAUCAUGUUUUUUUUUCAGUGGAAAUGUUGUGUUUUGAACCUGCAAACGCAUGGUUAACAGACUUAGAAGUUACCCGUUGUAUUGUA